AGAGUUUGAUCCUGGCUCAGGAUGAACGCUGACAGAAUGCUUAACACAUGCAAGUCAACUUGAACUUCGGUUUGGGUGGCGGACGGGUGAGUAACGCGUAAAGAACUUGCCUCACAGUUAGGGACAACAUUUGGAAACGAAUGCUAAUACCUGAUAUUAUGAUUUUAGGGCAUCCUAGAAUUAUGAAAGCUAUAUGCGCUGUGAGAGAGCUUUGCGUCCCAUUAGCUAGUUGGAGAGGUAACGGCUCACCAAGGCGAUGAUGGGUAGCCGGCCUGAGAGGGUGAACGGCCACAAGGGGACUGAGACACGGCCCUUACUCCUACGGGAGGCAGCAGUGGGGAAUAUUGGACAAUGGACCAAGAGUCUGAUCCAGCAAUUCUGUGUGCACGAUGAAGUUUUUCGGAAUGUAAAGUGCUUUCAGUUGGGAAGAAAAAAAUGACGGUACCAACAGAAGAAGUGACGGCUAAAUACGUGCCAGCAGCCGCGGUAAUACGUAUGUCACAAGCGUUAUCCGGAUUUAUUGGGCGUAAAGCGCGUCUAGGUGGUUAUGUAAGUCUGAUGUGAAAAUGCAGGGCUCAACUCUGUAUUGCGUUGGAAACUGUGUAACUAGAGUACUGGAGAGGUAAGCGGAACUACAAGUGUAGAGGUGAAAUUCGUAGAUAUUUGUAGGAAUGCCGAUGGGGAAGCCAGCUUACUGGACAGAUACUGACGCUAAAGCGCGAAAGCGUGGGUAGCAAACAGGAUUAGAUACCCUGGUAGUCCACGCCGUAAACGAUGAUUACUAGGUGUUGGGGGUCGAACCUCAGCGCCCAAGCAAACGCGAUAAGUAAUCCGCCUGGGGAGUACGUACGCAAGUAUGAAACUCAAAGGAAUUGACGGGGACCCGCACAAGCGGUGGAGCAUGUGGUUUAAUUCGACGCAACGCGAGGAACCUUACCAGCGUUUGACAUCUUAGGAAUGAGACAGAGAUGUUUCAGUGUCCCUUCGGGGAAACCUAAAGACAGGUGGUGCAUGGCUGUCGUCAGCUCGUGUCGUGAGAUGUUGGGUUAAGUCCC
rnacentral:rRNA from 1 species